rnacentral:misc_RNA from 1 species
UCCGGUUUGUCACCGGCAGUCUCCUUAGAGUGCCCACCAUGACGUGCUGGUAACUAAGGACAAGGGUUGCGCUCGUUGCGCCACUUAAGGCAACACCUCACGGCACGAGCUGACGACAGCCAUGCACCACCUGUGCAGGCUCCGUAGAGCACCCGCUUUCACGGGUUUCACCCUGCAUGUCAAGCCCAGGUAAGGUUCUUCGCGUCGCAUCGAAUUAAGCCGCAUGCUCCACCGCUUGUGCGGGCCCCCGUCAAUUCAUUUGAGUUUUAACCUUGCGGCCGUACUCCCCCAGGCGGUCGACUUAGCACUUUUGCUUCGACCGUAAUACCGUCAGAGGCACUACGAUCUAGUCGACAUCGUUUACGGCCAGGACUAC